rnacentral:rRNA from 1 species
CCCGGCACAAGCGGUGGAGCAUGUGGUUAAUUCGAAGCAACGCGAAGAACCUUACCAGGCCUUGACAUGCAGAGAACUUCCAGAGAUGGAUUGGUGCCUUCGGGAACUCUGACACAGGUGCUGCAUGGCUGUCGUCAGCUCGUGUCGUGAGAUGGUGGGUUAAGUCCCGUAACGAGCGCAACCCUUGUCCUUAGUUACCAGCACGUUAUGGUGGGCACUCUAAGGAGACUGCCGGUGACAAACCGGAGGAAGGUGGGGAUGACGUCAAGUCAUCAUGGCCCUUACGGCCUGGGCUACACACGUGCUACAAUGGUCGGUACAAAGGGUUGCCAAGCCGCGAGGUGGAGCUAAUCCCAUAAAACCGAUCGUAGUCCGGAUCGCAGUCUGCAACUCGACUGCGUGAAGUCGGAAUCGCUAGUAAUCGUGAAUCAGAAUGUCACGGUGAAUACGUUCCCGGGCCUU